UCUUAUUCUUUAUUGUGUUCGUAUCAAAACUGCAAAUAUUUCAAUAAAUACAUCAGGAUAUGAUAAAUACCGAUUAAAAUGGUGUAAUGGAGGAUUUGUGGAGAUAUUUGGAUUACUCUACUCAUUCAAGACAAUAUAACCUUGUUGUGGAAAUGACGAAGCGCACACUUUUAAAUGCAAAUAAAAUGUAUAAUAAAUAUAUAAAUAAAUUGUGCACUUUAAGAUGACUGCCUGUAUAUACUAAAUUAUAUUCUAACACUUUACUCAAGUUUAUUAUGAUUUUAUCAAUCAGUCAGGAGAAAUAUCAUAAGAGGUUUUAAUGAGGAUUUGUGGACAUAUUUGGAUUAAUCUACUCAAUCAGGACAAUAUAACCUUGUUAUAAAGAUGACGAAGAGCACACAUUGCAAUCGCAAAUAAAAUGGAUACUAAGUUCACUUAAAGAUGACUG